GUCAAGCACACAGCAGUGAAUGGGAGAGGUGCGUUGAAACGUGGGCCAGACAGUGACAAACCCUGACUUUGUGCAUCAGUAGCAAUCAAUGCCCUGCAUAAAUACAGAAGCUCUGGACAGCUAAUCUGGAGGCAGUAACACCAUUUCUACAUUUUCACACACAUUAGGACUUUCUCAGGAGGCUUUUGAUCCAAUUCUACCCUUUGGUGUUCUACCAGCUGGUAAGGACUAUUGAAAUACAGUGGUUUUCCGAACACAUCUCUUCUUCAAAAUAGAUUUGGUUUGGUUUGUUUUUUUUUUUUUUUUAAGACUAGUGUGAGUAUGUGACAUGCUUGGAGGUACUAAUCACCCGCUGGCAGGUAAAAAUUAACCUGAAGGAAUAGGUUUUGAUCUAAGAGAGCUAUCUACUUAGACUUUGGACAGUGGGAUUUCUCCUGACUAGAUAAGAUUUCUCCUUCAGCACACACAAAACAGACAUUCGUCUCUUGUAAGUUAUUACCAAUGAAUGUAGGAUACUGACAGGGCCUUUGGUGCAAAGCACUCUGGACACAGCCAUUUAUUUGACAUUGUACAGCAUGCGACUCACUGAAUUUCUAAAUGCAUUCCUCUGACCCACUCUACAGCUGCCAGUGUUUGUCUGCGUCUGGAGGGAAACCAGCCCACACCCUCCAGCCAGAAAUGCCAGCUUACAGCAUUUCAGAGUGGGAAUCAUAACAGAAAAUGUACAGCACCGGUGAGACUGCGGCUUGGUUGUGGGAGCUGACAGAACAGUACGCAGUGAGAGAAGGCACGGUGUCAGCUGGAGGACGGCAGAUCACGCCAGCAAAGCUGCAAUAGGCAAACACGAAGCGUGCCGCUCCGCCGCCGGGGCUGCGGGGAGACUCAGAGCGGGCGGGGGGCGUGGCCGAGGGAGGGGGCGCCCGACCGUGGGCGUGGCUAAGGACGGGCGUGGUCACGCAUAGGGGCGUGGUCAACGAGGGGGCGUGGCGAGGCUCGCGCCCCCCG
rnacentral:lncRNA from 1 species